rnacentral:rRNA from 1 species
UUUAUACAACGAAGAGCUUGAUCCUGGCUCAGGAUGAACGCUAGCGGCAGGCCUAACACAUGCAAGUCGAAC